GGCGGUGCUGCAUCCACUCUAAAGCUCGGCAAAUCUGGUUGUACUUAUAAUGUCGACCUUCGUUUCUUUUGCAGACUACACAUCUUCGAACGUUCUUCUUGACGAUCUUCUGUCCACGAAUGAUCCAAAAUUGCUCACGCAACGAUGAAAGAGUUUGAUUUAUGCCGCUGUGACUUGUUCGAUGAUGGACUUCUUGUAUGACUAAAUUGGUAAGGUGGUGGUUCUUCGGCAGCAAAACAG